rnacentral:lncRNA from 1 species
CCCCCCAAAACUGGUUCAGAAGCAAGAGUGGUGGAAAUAACUACUUCUCGGGUCUUUCUUUACUUUAAAUAUUCCCUGGAUCCCCUGCCGAGGAGUUGAUGGAGCUGUGAAACAGGAGCUACAUUUGGAGUCAGAAAACCUACAUUCAAAUACAGCUUUGACACCUACCACCUUGGGCAAGUCGCUUACUAUCUCUAGGCCUCAGUUUCCUCAUCUGUAAAAUGAGGGAGUUGGACAAGAAGAUGUUUAAGGUCAGUUCUAGCUCAGAGUCUAUGAAUUUCCAUUGUAGACUUCAUCUUUCUGGAUGACACAUCCCCUUGCAGUGUCAACCCUAUCAUUUUUUCCUAAUUUUACA